rnacentral:rRNA from 1 species
AGAGUUUGAUCCUGGCUCAGGACGAACGCUGGCGGCGUGCUUAACACAUGCAAGUCGAACGGAGAAAGCAGCAAUGUUUUCUUAGUGGCGAACGGGUGAGUAACGCGUAGACAACCUACCUCAAAGAUGGGGACAACACCGCGAAAGUGGUGCUAAUACCGAAUGUUGUAUCUGAAAUGCAUGUUUUAGAUACAAAAGGU